GUAGGUGGCAAGCGUUAUCCGGGAAUUAUUGGGGCGUAAAGCGCGCGCAGGCGGUUUCUUAAGGUCUGAUGUGAAAGCCCACGGGCUCAACCGUGGACGGUCAUUGGAAACUGGGGAACUUGAGUGCAGAAGAGAAAAGCGGAAUUCCACGUGUAGCGGUGAAAUGCGUAGAGAUGUGGAGGAACACCAGUGGCGAAGGCGGCUUUUUGGUCUGUAACUGACGCUGAGGCGCGAAAGCGUGGGGAGCAAACAGGAUUAGAUACCCUGGUAGUCCACGCCGUAAACGAUGAGUGCUAAGUGUUAGAGGGUUUCCGCCCUUUAGUGCUGCAGCUAACGCAUUAAGCACUCCGCCUGGGGAGUACGGUCGCAAAGACUG
rnacentral:rRNA from 1 species